rnacentral:tRNA from 1 species
UUAAUUGAAACCAAAAAGAGGUAUGUCACUGUUAAUGACAGAAAUGGACUCCACUCCCAAUUAAA